UGAAAUAUGAUGUAAUUGGCAGCAUGCGAGACUUUGACUCUCGUCGUUUAGGUUCGAGUCCUAAUAUUUCAA
rnacentral:tRNA from 1 species